rnacentral:snoRNA from 1 species
AUCUCUUGGUAUUUACCACAGGCUGUGUUCUUACAUAGACUAUAUAGAUAACAAGGAAGAAAAAUAAACCUAUCCCAUAUACAGCUCAGCGCAGGCCCUGUGCCUGGUCUGUAUUGUAAAUGGGAAGACACAG